CGCACACACACACACACACACACACACACACACACACACACACACACACACACACACACACACACACACACACACACACACACACACACACACACACACACACACACACACACACACACACACAGUGAAACAGGAAGCUGUCUGGGUUUCUGCUGAAAUGAGAUAUAACACGAGUUCCUCAGAUGAAGAGAGACCAUGUUCCAGGAGGUGUCUUUCGUUACCCUGCUGAUGCUUCACUCUGCGGUUCAGAGCCUCUCAGUUCAGGCUUCGUGUCGGGAGAAUGUUUCUCUCAAGUGUCAGGAGGUCGGAUCAGAGUUCGGAUCAGAGUUCAUCUCCGUCACCUGGUACAAGCAGCUGAUCCACCAAAAUAAGUGUGGCAUCCUGCGGUGGGGCAGCAAAGACAAGAAGAAGCCUCAGUUUUUCAUCAAAUUCAACCGCACCGUCCACUCCGAUCAGAACUACAGCCUGCUGAUCAGCGCCGUCACUCCUGCAGACUCCGGCACCUACCAGUGUGAGGUGGGGGCCAUGAUUGGGGGCCAAAACAAGAGAAAUGAGGUCAAGCUGGACGUCAGCGAGUGUGUGACCCCUGCUGUGUGGGCCACACCGACCCCGGUGCCGAACGCGACCUCUGACCUCUCCAGCACUCAGGUGCACGAGCUUCCAGUUCUGUGGAGCGCCGUCAUCUACGGGAUCGCCUGCAUCGCCAAAAUCGCUUUAUCCAUCAUCAGCGUCUUGAUCAUUCGAUGUGUGCAGUCAAAGUCUUCCAAACGACGGCAGCAGAAAUGGUGAAGCAGAUUGAAUCCCGAAAUUCAGCUUCGUUUCCUAUUUAUUUCUCAGACUCUUUUCUGGUGUGUGACAGCCUGAUUCAGACUCUGGAAGAUGAUGGAAUGAGCGUGCAGCAGCUGCACCCUGCAGACCUGAACUCACUGAGACCCCCUGCAGCUUCACAGGGUCAGACCCACACAGGAUCAGCUUUACAUGGAUCACUGCAGAGAAUGGGGCCGUCUGAAAUCCACCACCCGCUCCUUGGUCUUCCCUGCGUUGAGCUUGAGGUGGUUCCUCCGGCACCAGAGGAUGAAGUCCUGCGUCAGCUCCCUGUGCUCCCUGUCGUCCUCGUUGGAGGACCGGCGAUGGCGGAGUCGUCAGAGAACUUCUGCAGGAGACAGGUCGGCGUGUUGUGGGGGAAGUCUGCAGUGUAGAGGGUGAGGAGGAACGGGGCCAGCACCGUCCCCUGGGGGGCCCCCGUACUUCAGAUGAUGGUGUCUGAUUGACACUCCUGGUCCCCUCGUACUGUGGACGGUCGGUGAGGUAGUUUAAGUACAGUCCAUUUACCAUAUUUAUUGUUGGUAAUAUCAUGAGUUGAAGCGUGCAGGUGUACAGCGGAUGCAACAGGAAGCAGGACUUUAUCCUUUUAAUCAGAUUUAAUGAGGACAUUUAUAAAAGAAGCUCAGGCUUUCACUUCCAAAAAUGUAUGGAUUUAUAAUCAAAGGCAACUUUAUUAACACUGCACAUCCGAACAAUACAGACAUGUUAAAGAAUGUAUUACAAACAUCAAAGUGCAAAAUAAAUAUUACAUGACAUUUAAAAAAUGUAAACGUCAAAUAAAUAAUGAAUAAAAAUCGAAGUGAAAAUAGAACAAGUCCGGUGUAAACAGAGGAGGGUUAAGGAGCGCCUGCUGUCCUCUGACUGCAUCAUCGCCCUGCACUCAUUCACUGACCUGCAGGUGGAAACUGAACCGUGUCCGACCCCCUGAGAACACUGACGCACAAACACAAAGUCCUCCACUGAAGUAAAAGUACUAAUACUACACUGAAGAAGUACUCUCUAAGUAAAAUGUAUUCAUUUAAGACGAACCAAAGCAGGAAAAUCCAAAAUGCAUGAUUUAGAAAAUGGAUGAAAUGUGUUAUAAAUGUUCUCUCAAUUUGCUUUAAUAAUACUCACAUUUUUGCAACAGCUUUGAAAAGGAAAUGCAAUGUGUAUUACACCUAAUAGAUCCAAAACAAUGAAUUCAAAUAAGACAAACAUAACACUGAGCUAUGGACAGACGGUAGGUAUGCAUUGAUAAAGGACUGUGCUGACCAAAAACUCAAUCAAAUCAUUGGUUGAAUAAAAGACACAAAUACAGUUCAUUCUAAAUCAGAUCAUUUAAAAAAAGAACGACAGAAAUAAAAACACAGAAUUAUUUUGGAAAUGAAUUCAAAACUACGUUAAAGUUUAUUUAUGUAAGUCAGAGUAAAUCCAGAGGCCAUUUCAUCUGUAGUGCCUGAACAGACGCUGUAGAACCACCCUAAAAACAGACACCAUUUAAUCAAACAAAUAAUAAUAAAUAAAACAAUAAAAACAACAAAUAAUAAUAAAUAAAAACAACAAAUAAUAAUAAA